CUGGCUGAUAAUGAUAUAUUUGAAAAUGUUAAUUCUGUCAGCACAACAACUAUUGCUCGAGUCCUAAAGAAACACCAAGUUACAAUGAAACAGUUAUACACUGUACCGUUCGAGAAAAACAGUGAACGGGUAAAAGAGCAAAGAUACCAAUAUGUCCAGAGAGUAAUGGAGGUGGAAGCACUGGAAAGACCACAUUCAUUUGUAUUUAUCGAUGAAGUUGGAUUUAACCUUGCCAAAACACGGCGCAGAGGAAGGAAUGUUAUAGGUCAAAGGGCCACUGUGGAGGUUCCAGGCCAAAGGGGGGGAAAUAUCACCAUGUGUGCUGCAAUGGCCAAUGAUGGUUUGCUUCUCAACACAUCACUCAUUGGCCCAUACAACACAGAAAGGCUUAUAGCUUUCCUAGAACAGCUCUAUGCUCAGCUAGUGCCAGCAGAACAGGGGGAGCCAGUAAGAAACCCCCAAGUUUUUGUCAUAGUUUGCGAUAACGUUGCUUUUCACCACUC